rnacentral:lncRNA from 1 species
AGUGUUUCCUAGAGCCAUCUGCUGACAACACGAACAUUGGGCAUCUGACAGAGGAGAAAUAUUUAUAAGGUUUAGCUCCAGUAUCACAGGCAGAGCAAUGGAGGAUGGAUUUGGAGCUGCAAGGCAAUAAACUGGUAACUGAACAAAGCAAUUAAGUCAAUGAACACUGCUAUCCUACUGGCUUUGAAAUGAAGGCACACCCCUUCAGAGUGUACCCUAUCAGAAAGAAAGAAGAGGAAAAAAAAUUAUAAUUAUUAAUUCAUGAUGCUAUGCAGGCUUUGUGAGGUUGGAGGUAACUGCUAUUGAAGAAAUGCUUCAGGCCCUGGUCAACACAACGAAAGACAAUGAACAGAAAUCGCCAUUUGAUGUGAAGAGUGACUGUAAAGGAAGACAAGAAGAAGGCACAAGGAGAUUUGCUCCAAACUAGUUCUUCCCAUAAAAUCUCUGCCCCGGCCAGUUGCAGUGGCUCACGUCUGUAAUCCCAGCACUUUGAGAGGCCGAGACCAGUCCAAGAAGAUUGUAUAUAAGAGACACCUGAUAAUUUCAAAAUCCUAGGCCCACUUCCUGAGCUGAGCAAGCAUGCAACCUCAAAGAGAAAAGUUUGAGGAAAUCACUUCAAGGACAAAAAAUUGCAAUGUAAAGAGAAUUAUUUAUCUCCAAAUUCCAGAUUACCCCCCUGCCCAACCCCUGCCAGCAGCACCGUCCACAUGGUUUCUCAUUUAGUUUUGUGUUAGUUUAACAAAGUAGACUCUGCAAUCUGGAUAAAAUAGUAAGUCACCUCAGGUAGGUGCCAAUAGGAUGCUCCUUUGGACAUUGCAGAUUUUAAGUACUGUCUUUUUAUAAUACAGGAGGCAUGUACAAGUCUGUCAUAUGUGGAAAUGUUGUGAACCCAUCAUAUAUACAAUGUGCUGUUUUAGAAGAUAGAUUGUCCAUUUAGGUGUGUUAUAACAACCUAGAUGGGAAGUUACUUUCCGGUGUGUUCAAAGUUCCUUAUCUGAUUCUGCAGAGGCUGGGAUCUGAGCAGGUCACUCUAUCUCUGGAGGCCUGUUACUUGAUGAUAAAUACUAAUAAACAUCUCCCGUCAGACA